rnacentral:rRNA from 1 species
CGGGCCUGCAGUGGGUACGGGCGAACUAGAGUGUGGUAGGGGAGACUGGAAUUCCUGGUGUAGCGGUGGAAUGCGCAGAUAUCAGGAGGAACACCGAUGGCGAAGGCAGGUCUCUGGGCCACAACUGACGCUGAGGAGCGAAAGCGUGGGGAGCGAACAGGAUUAGAUACCCUGGUAGUCCACGCCGUAAACGGUGGGCACUAGAUGUGGGGACUAUUCCAUGGUUUCCGCGUCGCAGCUAACGCAUUAAGUGCCCCGCCUGGGGAGUACGGCCGCAAGGCUAAAACUCAAAGGAAUUGACGGGGGCCCGCACAAGCGGCGGAGCAUGCGGAUUAAUUCGAUGCAACGCGAAGAACCUUACCAAGGCUUGACAUAUACCCUCUAUCCCCAGAGAUGGGGAGUGCUUCGGCGGGGUAUACAGGUGGUGCAUGGUUGUCGUCAGCUCGUGUCGUGAGAUGUUGGGUUAAGUCCCGCAACGAGCGCAACCCUCGUCCUAUGUUGCCAGCACGUGAUGGUGGGGACUCAUAGGAGACUGCCGGGGUCAACUCGGAGGAAGGUGGGGAUGACGUCAAAUCAUCAUGCCCCUUAUGUCUUGGGCUUCACGCAUGCUACAAUGGCCGGUACAAAGGGCUGCGAUACCGUAAGGUGGAGCGAAUCCCAAAAAGCCGGUCUCAGUUCGGAUUGAGGUCUGCAACUCGACCUCAUGAAGUCGGAGUCGCUAGUAAUCGCAGAUCAGCAACGCUGCGGUGAAUACGUUCCCGGGCCUUGUACACACCGCCCGUCAAGUCACGAAAGUCGGUAACACCCGAAGCCAGUGGCCCAACCCGUAA